rnacentral:rRNA from 1 species
UCGAGAAUCUUCGGCAAUGGACGCAAGUCUGACCGAGCGACGCCGCGUGCGGGAUGAAGGCCUUCGGGUUGUAAACCGCUGUCAGUGGGGAGGAAGGCUUCGUGAAGAGCGAGGUUUGACCUAUCCGCAGAGGAAGUGAGGGCUAAGCUCGUGCCAGCAGCCGCGGUAAGACGAGCCUCACAAACGUUAUUCGGAAUCACUGGGCUUAAAGGGUGCGUAGGCGGCGUGGAAAGUUGGGUGUGAAAUCCCUCAGCUUAACUGAGGAACUGCGCCCAAAACUACCAUGCUCGAGGGAGAUAGAGGAAUGCGGAACUUAGGGUGGAGCGGUGAAAUGCGUUGAUAUCCUAGGGAACACCGGUGGCGAAAGCGGCAUUCUGGAUCUCUUCUGACGCUGAGGCACGAAAGCUAGGGUAGCGAACGGGAUUAGAUACCCCUGUAGUCC